CCCGCUUGACUUAAGCAUAUCAAUAAGCGUAGGAAAAGAAACUAACAAGGAUUCCCCUAGUAACUGCGAGUGAAGCGGGAAAAGCUCAAAUUUAAAAUCUGGCGGUCUUUGGCCGUCCGAGUUGUAAUCUAGAGAAGUAAUGCCCGUGCUGGACCGUGUAUAAGUCUCCUGGGAUGGGGCGUCAUAGAGGGUGAGAAUCCCGUCUUUGACACGGACUACCAGUGCAUUGUGGUAUGCUCUCAAAGAGUCGAGUUGUUUGGGAAUGCAGCUCAAAAUGGGUGGUAAAUUCCAUCUAAAGCUAAAUAUUGGCGAGAGACCGAUAGCGAACAAGUACCGUGAGGGAAAGAUGAAAAGAACUUUGGAAAGAGAGUUAAACAGUACGUGAAAUUGCUGAAAGGGAAACGCUUGAAGUCAGUCGCGUUGGCCAGGGAUCAGCCUUGCUUUUGCAUGGUGUACUUUCUGGUUGACGGGUCAGCAUCAAUUUUGACCGCUGGAAAAAGGCUUGGGGAAUGUGGCAGCAUUGGCUGUGUUAUAGCCCCUGGUCACAUACAGCGGUUGGGAUUGAGGAACUCAGCACGCCGCAAGGCCGGGUUUCGACCACGUUCGUGCUUAGGAUGCUGGCAUAAUGGCUUUAAGCGACCCGUCUUGAAACACGGACCAAGGAGUCUAACAUGCCUGCGAGUAUUUGGGUGGAAAACCCGAGUGCGCAAUGAAAGUGAAAGUUGAGAUCCCUGUCGUGGGGAGCAUCGACGCCCGGACCAGAACUUUUGCGACGGAUCCGCGGUGGAGCAUGUAUGUUGGGACCCGAAAGAUGGUGAACUAUGCCUGAAUAGGGUGAAGCCAGAGGAAACUCUGGUGGAGGCUCGUAGCGAUUCUGACGUGCAAAUCGAUCGUCAAAUUUGGGUAUAGGGGCGAAAGACUAAUCGAACCAUCUAGUAGCUGGUUCCUGCC
rnacentral:rRNA from 1 species